UUCUGGUUGAUCCUGGCAGAGGUUACUGCUAUCGAGAUUCGACUAAGCCAUGCGAGUCGAAUGUUCUUCGUGAACAUGGCGGACUGCUCAGUAACACGUGGACAACCUACCCUUGGGUCUGGCAUAAUCCUGGGAAACUGGGUAUAAUUCCAGAUAGGUCACAGAUGCUGGAAUGCACUGUGGCCGAAAGCUCCGGCGCCCAAGGAUGGGUCUGCGGCCUGUCAGGGUUGUAGUGGGUGUAACGGACCUACUAGCCUACGACGGGUACGGGUUGUGAGAGCAAGAGCCCGGAGAUGGAUUCUGAGACACGAAUCCAGGCCCUACGGGGUGCAGCAGGCGCGAAAACUUUACAAUGCGGGAAACCGUGAUAAGGGAAUCUCGAGUGCCAGCAUAUAAUGUUGGCUGUCCAGAUGCCUAAAAAGCAUCUGUUAGCAAGGGCCGGGCAAGACCGGUGCCAGCCGCCGCGGUAACACCGGCGGCCCGAGUGGUAACCGCUUUUAUUGGGUCUAAAGGGUCUGUAGCCGGCCAAGUAAGUCCCUUGGGAAAUCUGGCAGCUUAACUGUCAGGCUGCUAGGGGAUACUGCUAGGCUUGGGACCGGGAGAGGUGAGAGGUACCUUGGGGGUAGGGGUGAAAUCUUGUGAUCCUCGGGGGACCACCAGUGGCGAAGGCGUCUCACCAGAACGGGUCCGACGGUAAGGGACGAAAGCUAGGGGCACGAACCGGAUUAGAUACCCGGGUAGUCCUAGCCGUAAACGAUGCUCGCUAGGUGUCAGUCACGGUGCGACCGUGAUUGGUGCCGUAGGGAAGCCGUGAAGCGAGCCACCU
rnacentral:rRNA from 1 species